rnacentral:rRNA from 1 species
UACGUAGGGUGCAAGCGUUAAUCGGAAUUACUGGGCGUAAAGCGUGCGCAGGCGGUCUGUUAAGACCGAUGUGAAAUCCCCGGGCUUAACCUGGGAACUGCAUUGGUGACUGGCAGGCUUUGAGUGUGGCAGAGGGAGGUAGAAUUCCACGUGUAGCAGUGAAAUGCGUAGAGAUGUGGAGGAAUACCGAUGGCGAAGGCAGCCUCCUGGGCCAACACUGACGCUCAUGCACGAAAGCGUGGGAAGCAAACAGG